CAUGCUCAUUCAUUUUAUGUAGAUACAACAGUAACAUCACCCGAAAAUACUUGGAGAUUGCAACUCCAAUUCGGUGGUCCUGACGGCUAUUGAAGACUCCGACAGAUCGCAACUACCUGAAUUCGUCAGUGACUCCAUUAUUUACUUAAACUUUAUACCGUUGCACUCCAUUAUUUUCAAGGUCAUCCCCAUCAUUAAUUACUGCACAAAUGGAGGACGGGUUUUACAGGUGGCAGUUAAAUGCCAUGUCAUUUUUCCCAAACACGAACGAAACACGCCUCGCCCAAAAAUCAAUUGAAGUUGUGAGAUGAAACCCUCGUGUCAAAUGAACGACCUCCAUCAGCCAUUGCAGAAACACCUCCCAAAUCUCAAAAUCCGAAAUUGCCUUGAUCCCCAACCCCCAAUUUGAAUUCGAUCCACAAUUUGGACCUCAAAGCGCGAUUGUUGAAACCGUAGACAUUGAUAGAGCACCUCAGUUUGCUGACACUUGGAUUGAAAUGUGUUCCAAUUUUCGAAGUACAUUUCAUUUUUCUUACAUGUUAUGACCUUUCCAAUGAGACAUUUCAGUUUGCUACCACUCGAAUUGACUGGAAGGAGACAUCAAAAAGCCUUGUGUUUAAGGCAGAUCUUCCGGGAUGAAGAAAGAAGUAAAGGUUGAAGUUGAGGAAGGUAACAUACUGCAGAUUAGAGGAGAAAGGGGCACAGAGAAAGAGGAGAAGAAUGAUAUGCGGCAUUGUAUGGAGGGAAUUUCGGCAGAAAGAGGAGAAACCUUCAUGAUUCUGAUCAAAGUGGCGGAUUUAAACAGACGUAAUGCUCCUAGAUUGUACAUCUGAUUUUAUGGACUAUGAUUGUACGUAUUUAUGGGAAUUUAGGUAGUUGUGUAAAUUUAUAAAAGCUCAAAAAGCUCUGUAGUAAAUUUAUGGGAAUUUUGAUGUAUGUCACUGCCCUUACUUUUAAAACAAUGUUAUAUGAUUGUUCAUGCUUUGCCAAUUAUGAAUUGAAGCUACAAAUAUGUUAUAGGAUUGUUCAUGCUUUGCCAAUUUGUGAAUUUAUUCGACCUAUGUAAUCGAUUAGAAGACUUAGUAUAUAAUUCUCAUGUUUAUGUAAUUUGAACUAGAGUUGAAGUUGAAUUGUGCUUAUGGGUUCUCUUUGUAAACUGCACUAGAGUUUAUCAAUUUUCUUUGAAUGUUUGUAUUAGUUUACUAUAUUGGUUAGAAAUUUCUAUGGUGAUGCUCUUUGAAUUCUGUUGUUUAAAAUGAUGUACUUUAUGUUAGUGUGAUAGAUAUCUUAUUCCUUGCUUGACUUCUCGAACUUGCCUUCAUAAACCGAAGUGUUAGCCCAAUGAAUGAAAGGUUGGCCUUGUGUUGGGACGGUAAGGAGACAUGUUAAGUUCUUGAUUUGUAGUGACAUGUGUUUAAUUGUGCUGGCUUACAUUCAUUUUCACCCUCAGGGAAAAUUGGGGCCGAAUAGAGGGACUGGAGUAUCAUUGUGCAACCGCAUGAUGGACAACAAAGCUUCCAUUUUGGGUGGCAAUGGAAUACAAGUGUUAUCAGUAGUGGGCCAUUAGCUUCUGCACCCAUGGAUGAAGGUAAUAACAGUGGACAUUCAUUCGAAGCACAAGUGACUACUGAACAAAUUGAUUAUGAAGGAAUAGAAGAGGACUUCGCACCUAUGAAUGUAGAAGAGGGUUCAAGUUCAAGACCAUCAAGGCCAUAUGCUAGAAGACUUGCAAGUAUAUCAGGGCAUUGAACAAUUUAUAUGAACG
rnacentral:lncRNA from 1 species